rnacentral:rRNA from 1 species
AGCAGUAGCCGCGGUAAUACGAAGGGUGCAAGCGUUACUCGGAAUUACUGGGCGUAAAGCGUGCGUAGGUGGUGGUUUAAGUCCGUUGUGAAAGCCCUGGGCUCAACCUGGGAAUUGCAGUGGAUACUGGGUCACUAGAGCGUGGUAGAGGAUAGUGGAAUUUCCGGUGUAGCAGUGAAAUGCGUAGAGAUCGGAAGGAACAUCUGUGGCGAAGGCGACUAUCUGGGCCAACACUGACACUGAGGCACGAAAGCGUGGGGAGCAAACAGGAUUAGAUACCCCCGUAGUCCCUGUCUCUUAUAC